UACGUAGGGUGCGAGCGUUAAUCGGAAUUCUGGGCGUAAAGCGUGCGCAGGCGGUGAUGUAAGACCGAUGUGAAAUCCCCGGGCUUAACCUGGGAACUGCAUUUGUGACUGGCGAGCUAGAGUAUGGCAGAGGGGGUAGAAUUCCACGUGUAGCAGUGAAAUGCGUAGAGAUGUGGAGGAAUACCGAUGGCGAAGGCAGCCCCUGGGCCAAUACUGACGCUCAUGCACGAAAGCGUGGGAGCAAACAGG
rnacentral:rRNA from 1 species